rnacentral:misc_RNA from 1 species
UCUUUAGGUUUCAUUUCUUUAAUUACGCUGCGUCUAAAACACGCACAAAAGGUCUACGUGGGGUCUUCGUCGAAUAAAUUUAAAGAUACGAAGAGAUUUAACGCGUGUCGAGCACACCCCUGAUGGUAGUUGCACAGGGUGCGCCCCGAGGGGCUACGAGGGUUUCCAGGGCCGGUCGCUAGGCAACUGGCGCCUCCACCCUCGAAGGACAACGUGCUUUUCCAUGCUCCCCCAUCUACAGGGUGAUCGGUCAAAAUACGAGAGUUUCACGUCCAUCGUGCACGUGACGAAUAUCUGGAAGACAACGUCUGGACUCCUGGGGAGAUCCACACAAGGAACGCGUCUGGCAUACAACAUCUGACUGAUUCGAGAAGGUUGCCAACGAACAAGCUAAUUAAAAUAAGUGCACGUUUUACCGAAUAACUGUCAAUUAUAGUCGUUGUUGAAUGCUAUACAAGGGAUGUAAAUUCUUUAAUUAAGAAUCUUUUUCGAUGAUGAUUUUUUAAUAUAAUUCUUAAUAUAAAGUAAUCACUCGCUAAAGAAUUUUUGUAGAUCGCAGUAAUUUGUGAUUAUGUCCUUUAAGAAUUAUUACAGGUAGCUCUGUAUUUUCUUUUUAAUUUUUAUAUAAUUUAAUAAAGUUUGUUCCCAAUUAUAUUUAUGUCUCAAAUCAGUUCUCAGUUUUCAAUUGUAAUAAUUGUUGGAUUUUCGAAUGGCGAAGAUGUGGUUGUAAAUUGCGAAUACAUUUUUUAAAUUGAUAAUUCAAUAAUAUUUAAGACUAGGUAGCUGUCUUUUUGUCAUCGCCGAAUAUCUUUGUUACUGUAAAUUAUAUCGAGUUAACGAGUUUAGCUUUUUUUAAGUUUUCCUCAGUAAUUGAAUACCUAUUAUUUUCGUAAAUAGUUUUAACAUUCUGAUAAUAAUUUAACUCAUAAAUGAUCGGUAACUGCUUAAACAAAUAAGCCUACUUUAAUCAUAAUUAUAUUCAAGCUCAUGAGAAACUUUAGCAGAAGUUCUACGAAUGAUUGAUAAAUCGUAAAUUUAUAUAACGCUAUACUACAAUAUCAUAUACGUAGACGAUCGUCUACAAC